rnacentral:rRNA from 1 species
GACAGAGGGUGCGAACGUUGUUCGGAAUUACUGGGCGUAAAGCGCAUGUAGGCGGCAGCGCAAGUCGGGCGUGAAAUCCCACGGCUCAACCGUGGAAGUGCACUCGAAACUGCGCAGCUAGAGUCCUGGAGAGGAAGGUGGAAUGCUUGGUGUAGAGGGGAAAUUCGUAGAUAUCAAGCGGAACACCGGUGGCGAAGGCGGCCUUCUGGACAGUGACUGACGCUGAGAUGCGAAAGCGUGGGGAGCAAACAGG